CCCUCCCUACUAAGGAAAGAAUAGUGCUUUUUUUUCACUAUUCAGCAAGAUUCUACGUUCAAACUACAAAUUGUCAAUCAACAGAACAAGUCAGGUCUGUCAAUCAAUAACAAAGAACAGAAAGAUUUGCUCAUCU